UGCUGCCCUAGAUUUUCAGAGUCCUUGAGUGUGAGAUAAAAAUCCUCAGUAUGGACCUGCCAACCAUUUGGAUUUGUAGCUGCUCACACAUCUGAAGCCUUCAAAAUUGUGACUUUUUCCUCAUGGGGUCCAGCCAACAGAAAUGGGGCAAUCUGAGGCAAAACCCUGUUUUCUUGGCUCUCCUUCCUGAAGGCCUCUGGCUGAUCAGGCCAGGUCCAAACCUUUUCACUCUGGAGAGAGAGAGAGAGAGAGAGAGAGAGAGAGAGAGAGAGAGAGAGAGAGAGAGAGAGAGAGAGAGAGAGAGAGAGGGGCGUCGCCACCUCCUGGCCUACGCUAUUGCUGCAUGCCCAAUCCCAAUCCCAGAAAGGAAGUAAACUCUAAUUUUUAAAUCUGGCUUUUAGUAAAGAGGACUACAGUGUUUGAGAAAGACACUGUCACUGGGUCUCAAAUUUUACAUUUUUAAAUCAACACCUCUGUCCUUUAUCAUCCUUAGCCCUGCUAAGUUUUUCAAGGUCAACGGACCAUGGAGGAUGGAAAUGCUUCUUCUGGAGUAUCCACAAGUAAACUUCUGAUGUAAAAGGAAACAGCAACAGACAAAGCAGAUAUUAAGCCCUUCCCUCCAGAAGUAUUGCUCCACGGGAGGAAACAGCUCACAACUAAAACAUGUAGGUCAGCUGAACCAGGUCACCUGGAGAGAGAAAAAAAAUGAAAACAGAGGCUAAGAGAUGGCUCCAAGCACUGUCUGCUCUUCUAUAGGAGCUGAGUUUGAUUCCCAACAUCCUCAUGACGGCUCACAAUUGUUCCAGGGCAUCUGAUGCCCUCCUCUGGCCUCCACAAGCACUUAAGGACACACAUGGUGCAGACAGACAUACAUGUAGCCGAAACACUUAUAUA